AUACCAGGGUAUUCGUAAGCAGGUUAACCCGUGGCCUGAGUGAGGAAGGCAAUGUCCUUGCUAGUCUGCUAGUCACUAUUAGUGGCGACACCUUCAAAUUGCGUGAAACGCGUCAUACAGCUUCAAGUACCACUUCAACUGAGAAAUCUUUUGAAGGAACAGAGGUAACUCCUCUUCCCAAAGGUAACAAGCUUGAAGACAUGGUGGCAAUGCGCAGCCAAGCUCCUAAGUAUUUAAUAUAAGGAGAAGGUUCAGAGAGCAGACGGAGGUGGGCGGUAAUCAUCACCGCUUAAAGUGUGCUCCAGCCUCUUUCGAAAGAUUGUG
rfam:Macrostomum lignano uti_cns_0045849, whole genome shotgun sequence.